AUCAACUGUGACAACUGUCGCGCGCAUCAACGUCGCUUCACCUCCGACUCGCAGACCUGUACCGCCGUCGUCCUUUCUUCAGUAACGCGCAGGACCCACAAGGAUUUCAGUCCAUAUGGCUCAAAGCUACGAUAACCUUGGAAACAAACAGCCUGGAGACGAUCCUGCUUCCCAGUACGAAUAUGACCCUGCUAACGAGUCUGAAUACUACUACGGCACGGACCAAACAUCCUAUGUGGAAACUACCACAGGGCAGUCGCAAAUCCCCAAGUCUAGUGGUA